rnacentral:rRNA from 1 species
GACGGAGGGUGCAAGCGUUGUUCGGAAUUACUGGGCGUAAAGCGCGUGUAGGCGGCUCGCUAAGUCUGAUGUGAAAUCCCGGGGCUCACCCCCGGAAGUGCAUUGGAAACUGGCGAGCUCGAGUCCCGGAGAGGAGGGUGGAAGUCCUGGUGUAGCGGUGAAAUGCGUAGAUAUCAGGAGGAACACCGGUGGCGAAGGCGGCCCUCUGGACGGUGACUGACGCUGAGACGCGAAAGCGUGGGGAGCAAACAGG